GUAAUUCUGCUUUUUUUAAUGAAUUGUUUUGUUUUGAUUGCUGUUUCUGUCUUGCGUUGAGUGAUUUGGGAUGUGAUUUACACUUCAGAGCCACCGUAUUUUCUGAAUGACUGGAAGCAAGAAAAGCACGCAGAUAAACAAAACUAGCCACACCUUACAAAACUUUCAUGUCAGAUUAUACUGCAAAAUCACAAAUGUAAUGCUACUGUUAAAAGCCAACUGUAAUAAUAAUAAUAAUAUUAAUACAUUUUAUUUCAAGCGUCUUUGUCAUGGUGCCUCUGUCAGCCCUGCCCCUCUCUGCUCUGCUCUGGAGGAUUUCCAGCUGUUGCCAUUCACCUCAUCAGCCCUGCUGCCUUCUUAAGGAGAUCCACAGCCAGUAUUCGUUGCCAGUUCGUUGCUCCUCCAUGGUCUUUAUCACCACGAGUACCUGGGAUACCCUCCGGAACGGUCCGUUCAGUCCACGCUCACCUCGCCAGCUGUUCAUGCCCUCUCAGCCUUCACAGAAGCCCUCCAGCCACGCCACGUCUUCCUGCUAUUCACCUGCAAUCUGGAACAGAAGAUUCCGCUUUUGGAAAAUCACCUGCAAGAAAAAUAAAUCAAACUACUUACCAUA